rnacentral:rRNA from 1 species
UGGGAACGUGCCUUUUGGUUCGGAACAACCCAGGGAAACUUGGGCUAAUACCGGAUAAGCCCUUACGGGGAAAGAUUUAUCGCCAAAAGAUCGGCCCGCGUCUGAUUAGCUAGUUGGUGGGUAAUGGCCCACCAAAGGGCCU